UGUUUUUACAUCAGAAGAACGCAGCGAAGAAGAAAGUGAGUGAGAAAGAGACACUUGGAGAGAAGGAGAAGGAAAUUCCAGAAAAAACUCCACCACCGAGGCGUAAGAAGGGAGAAGAUUCAUUGGUUUGUUGAAGUAAGUAAAUGAGGAGCAAACUGGACUUUCCCAUGGAGAAUUGUGCACAGCAUAUGGACUUGAGCUUGGGAGGUGGUGAUAGCAACACCCUCAUCUUGCCAGCAAAGAGAAGGAACAAAAGGAAGGGCACCAAUCAGGACUGUGAAAAACUCAAUCAAAGAAAAGCAACAAUGAUUAGCAAAUCCCAGCAAAGGAAGCUGAAGAAGUUGGAGGAGGAGAAGGAAAAAUCACUUUCCAUAUCCAAAAGCAUUGAGGCCUUAGAGAAAUAUAAGCUUCCAGAGGGUGCACAUUCUCUUUUGCAGUCAUCAAAGAAUAUUGGCAAGGUUGAGUCUAAAAAGGAAAAACGUAGGAAGGCUGUACUAUUCUCCAAAGCUGGCUUUGGUGUUCCCCUUACUGACCAACCGUUUAAGAAGAUAGAUAGUGAAAGUGAAAGUGAAAGUGAACCUGAGUUAGAAAAAACUCAAUCAAGGUCGGAUCUUUGCAAGAAUGAUCAGGUGCAAUCAAAGAUAGUCCCAGCAGCAAUCCAAAAGAACACAUUUAUUUCUUUGGAUGGCAGAGGACCUGGCGUGAAUGGUGGAACUGCUGCUGACUCACCAUAUAAAAAUGCUAUUAGCAAUAAACAUGACACGUCUUUGCGAGAAGACAUAAACAUUUUGCCCACUUCAAGUGUGAAUGAUGAUAGUCAAAGCAUGAAGAUGGACAAAGUAAAAGAAACACCAAAUGUAAAUUUCAGCAGGACGAGUAAAUUAUCAAAUUCUCCUAUGCCGAGGUCUCUAAUCGCCCCAACUAUAGUGCAUGUAUCAAGGCCUGAGGAAGUUGAAAAUGCAAGGAAGGAUCUUCCAAUAGUAAUGAUGGAGCAGGAGAUAAUGGAGGCUGUUAAUGACCAUUCCACUGUUAUUAUAUGUGGAGAGACUGGGUGUGGUAAAACCACCCAAGUUCCACAGUUUCUUUUUGAAGCCGGCUUUGGUUCAAGCUUCUCUUGUGUCCGAAGUGGUAUAAUUGGUGUUACUCAACCUCGUCGUGUUGCAGUCCUUGCGACUGCUAAGCGAGUGGCAUAUGAGCUUGGUCUACAUUUAGGUCAAGAGGUCGGGUUUCAAGUUAGGUAUGACAAAAGGAUCGGUGAAAGUUGCUCCAUCAAGUUCAUGACAGAUGGAAUAUUACUACGGGAACUUCAGAAUGACUUUUUGCUGAAGCGAUACUCUGUCAUAAUUAUUGACGAGGCUCAUGAGCGGAGCUUGAACACUGACAUUCUUAUCGGAAUGCUUUCACGUGUAAUUCGUGCUCGCGAGGAAAAAUAUGCAGAGCAGCAACGGGAGGUGCUUUCAGGAAGAACUAUAAGUACUGGGCAACAGAUUUUUCCAUUGAAGCUUGUUCUGAUGAGUGCCACCUUGCGAGUGGAAGACUUCAUGUCUGGUAGAAAGCUGUUUCGCAAUCCUCCGCCAGUUGUAGAAGUUCCCACCAGACAAUUUCCUGUAACCAUUUACUUUUCAAGCAGAACCAAGGAAGAGGAUUAUAUUGGGCAAGCAUGUAAAAAAGUCUUGGCAAUUCACAAGAGGCUGCCACGCGGGGGCAUACUUGUCUUCGUCACUGGGCAGAAGGAAGUAGAGUAUUUGUGUCGAAAGCUACGUAGAGUUUCAAAGGAACAGUAUAAAAAAACAUCUGAAGGGGAUAUUAGGAGUGAUGUCACUGAAGUUUCUGAAAGAAGUUCUACUGAGGAAAUAGACAUGAAGGAGAUCAAUGAAGCAUUUGAGGUUCAUGGAAAUUCAGCUGACCAUCAAACUGACAGAUUUAGCUAUAAUGAUGAAGAUCAGUUUGAUAUAGAUGACGAUGAGUUGGAUGAUUCAUAUGAUUCAGAAACAGAGAGUGAACUGGAAAUUAUUGGUGACUAUGGCAACUCAUUGAUCCGAGCUAGCCCGGAAAUUGAUGGUGAUGUUGAAAAUGUUUUAGGAGAGGAAGGGGGCAUUACUCAACUGAAGGCUGCUUUUGAAGCUUUAGACGCAAAAACUUCAUUUAACUUCAACUCUGAUGAGAAACAACCUAUUUCAGUUACUCCAAACGCUUGCCCCAAUCAAUCCAAUCCUAGCAUGGGAAAAAAGAGUGGAGUUGAAGAGAAUACUUCUCCAGGUACAUUGCAUGUUCUCCCUCUUUAUGCCAUGCUCCAUGCGAAAGAUCAGCUUCGUGUAUUUGAAGAAGUCAGGGAAGGAGAACGGCUCGUUGUUGUGGCCACCAAUGUGGCUGAAACAUCUUUAACUAUACCUGGGAUAAAGUACGUUGUCGAUACUGGAAGAGAGAAAGUGAAGAGCUACAAUUCCUCAAAUGGCAUGGAAACAUAUGAAGUACAGUGGAUAAGUAAGGCAUCAGCUGCUCAACGUGCAGGAAGAGCUGGAAGAACUGGGCCUGGAUACUGUUAUCGUCUGUAUUCUUCUGCAGCAUAUAGUAACAUAUUUCCUGACUUUUCUCCAGCUGAAAUAUCUAAAGUCCCUGUUGAUGGUGUUGUACUUUACAUGAAAUCCAUGAAUAUUGAUAAGGUAUCCAAUUUUCCAUUUCCAACUCCUCCAGAGGGUGCUGCCUUGGAUGAAGCUGAGCGUUGCUUAAAGAUCCUUCAAGCACUUGACAGCAAUGGAAGACUGACACCUUUAGGGAAGGCCAUGGCUGAUUUCCCCAUGAGUCCUCGCCACUCUAGGAUGCUCCUUACAGUUAUUCAAAUAAUGAGUAAGGAGAAGAGUUACUCUAGGGCUAAUUUAGUGCUAGCAUACGCAGUUGCAGCAGCAGCUGCUUUGAGUUUGUCAAAUCCUUUUGUCAGGCAGUUUGAAGAUAGUCACACAAAAAGCCAAGACUUAGAUGAGGACGGAAAUUCCAGUGGCACUGUGAACAUUGAAGUUAUGGACAAGCAAGAGAAGUUGAGAAGGAAGAAACUAAAAGAAACUGUAAAAAUGUUUCGUGAAAAAUUUUCUAAUCCCAGCAGUGAUGCUCUGUCUGUAGCUUAUGCUUUGCAGUGCUAUGAACUUUCAGAGAGCCCAGUGGAAUUCUGUAAUGUCAAUGCCCUACACCCAAAAACAAUGGAGGAAAUGUCCAAGCUGAGAAAGCAACUACUCCAACUUGUCUUUAACCAAAGUGGUGUUUCUGGUGGGGAGAAGGAUUUUUCAUGGAUUUUUGGAAGUUUGAAAGAUGUAGAAAAUGUUUGGAGGGUUUCCCAUGAUAAGAACCCUCUAUUAUUGUAUGAGGAAGAGCUCCUAGGCCAAGCUAUCUGCGCUGGUUGGGCAGAUAGGGUUGCCAAACGCAUUAGAGGAAGUUCCGGGUUAUCUUUAGGAGAUAAAAAAGUUCAUGCAGUUUGGUAUCAAGCCUGCAUGGUUAAAGAGAUUGUGUUCCUCCACCGUUGGUCAUCCGUUUCUAAUUCAGCCCCUGAGUUUUUGGUAUACAGUGAGUUGAUACAGACAAGACAUCCGUACAUGCACGGUGUUACUAGUGUGAAAUCAGAAUGGCUUGUUGAGUAUGCUCGGUCUAUAUGCACGUUCUCUGCACCGCCAACAGAUACCAAACCUUACUACGAGCCUCUAACUGACCAAGUAUUACAUUAUGUCAUUCCAGUCUUUGGUCCUCAUUUAUGGGAGCUUCCAUCACAUAGUAUUCCAAUUAGUAAUUACGCAUUUCGAGUGGCAGUUUUUGCUUAUGCUUUGCUUGAAGGCCAGGUUUUGCCAUGUUUAAGAUCUGUUCGUAAGUAUAUGGCAGCCCCUCCUGCUAGUGUUUUAAGGCCAGAGGCAGCAGGUCAAAGACGGGUUGGGAGUCUUUUGGCUAAGCUGAAUAGAAAAAAGAUAGACAGCUGUGCUAUUUUAAGAGAGGUCUGGAAGGAGAAUCCCAAGGAAUUGCAUCCAGAAAUCAUGGACUGGUUUCAGGAGGGUUUCCACAAUAAUUUCAAAACUCUUUGGUCACAUAUGCUUAGUGAAGUAAUUUUAGAGCCCCAAGAUCGAUUCCCAAAGGCAUCAAAGAGAGAAGGAAUGAUCAGCCACUGUAUCUGUAGGGAAAUGCAUUGACCUCGACAUGCCCCUCUGACUGAAGCUACUGCAGUUAGGUACUCCGCUCUAAAUGUAGACCCUUUUUCAGUGAAAUAUCGGAAGGAAAUGUAUAGGAGAAAAGAGAGAAAGAAGGGAGGAGGAAGGGGAGGGAUAUUGUACAUGGAAUGGUACUGAAAAUGGAAAUCAAAAGUUUCAGAGAGGAUGAUAAUGAGAGAUAUCGGCCCCACAAUUGGGAAUCAGAACGACAUGAGCACGAUAAAGAGCAUCCUCCAGGUCAUCAAUCCAAGCUAAGUGAUGAAUUUCCAAUUCAUAAAAUCUAUAUCUUGGUUAAGAUAGACCAUGAUUGAGUUUAAGCCCACUGUAAUAGUUAUCAAAGAACAUUUUAGUUUGUUCAUUCGGCAUAACAGCUGACGCUUAAGAACCUUCUUGUUUGGACUUUCCAUUUCAUUUGCUUUCUUGAGCUGCUUGAAGAAUUUGGUUAUUUAGCGUAGAUGUGCGGAUGGUUUAGUGAUAUUGUUUUUGUUGGACAAUCAGCGUAUCUAGAGGUUUUGACUCUAUCUAUUCUAGGAGGUUUCAUUUAAUUUAUUUAGCUUUUUAAUAUUUCAACGCUA